GUGAUGAGCUGCCCACGCAUGACAGAGAAGGUGCAAAGCAAACACUGAAACCAGGCCUCAAGUAGUACCUGUGUCGGAUGCAUGCGCCUUCUUCAGUCCUGUUCUUCCGCGAGCGUACAGUGGAGUUUCUCAGUGGCUACCUGGCUGGUUUGAUCGAGACGGAGUGGAUGCGAAAGCAGAGAUGAGAGUCCAGCUGUCUACUCUCGAGUCAAACAUCAAAAAGAAAUUUAGCAAAAAGGCCAAAACAGUGCUGUUCUUCUGUGUAGUAUAGUGACUAUCUUGUAAAAUACAACUAUUUUUCAUACAAGAUAUUUAUGCUAACAUGUAAUAGGUUUAUUAUUAUUUUAAAUAAAUUAAACAUGUGUUAAAA